UGGACCUGUGCUCCGCCUCGGGGCCCAGCCCUGGCCUGACCCAGCCCCUCAGCACAGCCCAGGCCACACGGACCCUGGGUCCUGGCCAAGGAGGCGCCGGUGCUUCCCGCUGCUGCCGGGCAUCUCUCCUUCCCGGGCUUCCCUCGUUUUCUGGGCAGGAGUCUGUGGGUAAAAACGGGAGAGUGACCGGGGUGCACGUGGCCAGUGCUGCUGGUGCUCCUUGGAGAGGGCCUACUGGUGGGGGCUGGACCCCACUGCCGCCCUGCCCUGGGCGGGGCUCUUCGUGGGGAGCUCAGGGAGGGAGGCCUCGCCCCGCACUCCAGGCAGGGGACGGCCAUCGCCCAGGCAGGCCUGGGAGACGGGGCAGAGCCGGCCAUGACCAGUAACCUGCAUGGACCACUGGACUAUCUGGGACGUGACAGUGGCCAGUCCAAGGCCUUCUGUGGCCGAGUCCACCUCUCACUGUCUCUUUCACGCAGAGCCUCAUGCAUCAGCCCCACUGUCCCCCCCCCGUACAAAUCGUAAAGGCUCAGACUCACAAGCCAGCCUUUGUCACGGGCACCACGUCCACAUGUGGGCACACGCACCCACAUGCAAGUGCUGGCCUCUUCUGCCACACCCGCGUGUACACAUCUUCAUCAUUGCAAAUAGCUACUGGGCAUUCACUGUGUGUCAGGCACGAUGCCAGCACGUGACGUGGAUUCCUGAAUCUCUCAGCGGCCACAUGGAUCCCAUUUUUCCAGCAAAGAAACUGAGGCUCAGAGAAGUAUGGCAAUUUUCCUG
rnacentral:lncRNA from 1 species